rnacentral:rRNA from 1 species
GACUACUAGGGUAUCUAAUCCUGUUUGCUCCCCACGCUUUCGUGCCUCAGCGUCAGGAAAGGCCCAGCCGGCUGUCUUCACCUUUGGCAUUCCGAUCGAUCUCUACGCAUUCCACCGCUCCACCGAUCGUUCUGCCGGCCUCUACCUUCCUCAAGACCAGUAGUUCGCCCUGCUGUUCCCCGGUUGAGCCGGGGGAUUUCACAAGACGCUUUCUGGCCCGCCUACGCACCCUUUAAGCCCAGUGAUUCCGACUAACGCUUGGACCACUCGUAUUACCGCGGCUGCUGGCACGAGUUUAGCCGGUCCUUCCUCUGAGGCUCUUCAUAGUUAGUAGCCCCUGACAGCAGUUUACACAGCGAAGCUGCUUCAUCCUGCACGCGGCAUUGCUCCGUCACGCUUUCGCGCAUUGCGGAAUAUUCCUUACUGCAGCCGCCCGUAGG